GUAUUAAUAAAGGGUGAAAUCAAUUUUUUAAUAUGCAAAUGUAUGGAUUAGUUAAAAAUAAAUUGAAGCUGUUAAAAUAAAGGUAUGGACCAGGAUUAGAUACCCUGUUACACUUUAUUAAAAAUUAAAAUACCUGGGUAUUAAACAGUUAUUAUCUUGAAACUCAAAGGAUUUGGCGGUAGUUUAGUCUAUUUAGAGGAACCUGUUCUGUAAUCGAUAGUCCACGAAGAAUCUUACUUUAUCUUGUAUUAUAUCAGUUUGUAUACCGUUAUUAUUAGAUAACUUUAAUAAAAUUUUUAGUUAUUGAAAUAAUUUUUAUUUAAUAUAUUAGAUCAAGGUGCAGCUUAUGGUAAAGGAGAAAUGGGUUACAAUAAUAUAAGUGGUUAAAUAAUGGAUUAAAAGAAGAAUUUUUUUUAUGAAGGUGGAUUUAAUAGUAAAAAAGUUUUAAUAAGAUUUUUUGAUUAUAGCUCUAAGCUAUGUACACAUCGCCCGUCGCUCUCGUUAAUUAAAGC
rnacentral:rRNA from 1 species